rnacentral:sRNA from 1 species
GAAAAACCAACAUAUUUCAUGAAAUUAGAUGCAGGUGUUAACAUGUAUCACCACUUCUGUGAUUUCAUCAAUCUUUAUAUUACUCAGCACGUUAAUAACUCAUUCAGUACUGACGUGUACAUCGUGAUGUGGGACACCAGUUCUUACGGAUAUGGUGACCUAUUCUCCGACACAUGGAAUGCAUUUACUGAUUAUGACGUUAUACAUUUGAAAACUUAUGAUUCCAAAAGGGUACUGGAAAUUUUCCUGAAAUGUCUGUGAAUAUUUCUUGAGUGCAGAUGACUCACUCAUAAAAUAAACAUUUAUUAUGAGUUCCUAUUAGCCAUUACCACUGAUUUCUGAAUUUCUGAAUUUCUUUUAUAAUUAGAAUCCUCAGUGUUGUUAAUCAUGCAGCCUUUGAAAACUUUUUUCUAUAAUCUUUCCAAAAAUAUGAAUUCUGUUCUCUUUGAAUGAAAUAGUGUGCUAUUCAAGCAAUGCAAAAUGGAGAUUAAUUAAAAUCUAUUUUUCAAAAUUAUACGUGCUAUUUUUGGUGUGAAGGGUGCAAAUUACAUCUUCUUGUCUUUUAAUGUAUCUUUGUUCUUAGGUAUGUUUUAAAGAAGCUGUUUUUUCAUUACUCCCCCGCAUGAGGUAUGGGCUGUUCUAUAAUACUCCUCUGAUAUCUGGCUGUCAAAAUACUGGACUAUUCAGGGCAUUUGCCCAGCAUGUACUACACAGACUAAACAUCACACAAGAAGGACCUAAGGAUGGAAAAAUUCGAGUCACCAUUCUUGCACGGAGCACAGAAUACCGGAAAAUCCUAAACCAAAAUGAGCUUGUAAAUGCACUGAAAACAGUAUCUACAUUUGAAGUCCAGAUUGUUGAUUACAAGUAUAGAGAACUUGGGUUUUUAGAUCAACUAAGGAUCACACACAACACGGACAUAUUUAUUGGAAUGCAUGGAGCUGGUCUGACCCAUUUACUUUUCCUUCCAGACUGGGCUGCUGUAUUUGAACUGUACAACUGUGAAGAUGAACGCUGUUACUUAGACUUGGCCAGGCUGAGAGGCGUUCACUACAUCACUUGGCGACGGCAGAACAAAGUCUUUCCUCAGGAUAAGGGCCACCAUCCAACCCUGGGGGAGCACCCGAAGUUCACCAACUACUCUUUCGAUGUAGAAGAAUUUAUGUAUCUUGUCCUUCAGGCUGCAGACCACGUAUUGCAACACCCAAAGUGGCCAUUUAAGAAGAAACAUGAUGAGCUAUAAAUAUGCUGAGUCUGUUUGCAAAAAGAGAGUGUUUAAACACUCCAACACCCAGACUUAGAAUUAAAUCAGUAAAGCAAUCUGUUAUUUCCUAUCCCCGAAUUACCUUUUCUAUGCCAAAACAUACCUUCAGGAUAUUGUUAUGUGUUUUAUAGAUGUUAAGUGUUUCAUGUGGUUUUUGUGUCAUUGCUAUUUAUCAAUAGCAAUAAUUUUGCACUGAAAACUUUUUAUAGUUCAAAAUUUAAGCAUGGACUCCCCAGUAUACUUUAACUUUCUUUCUUUCUUUUUUUUUUUUGGAGACAGAGUCUCACUGUCACCCAGGCUGGAGUGCAAUGGCAUGAUCUCAGUUUAUGCAACUUCUGCCUCCCAGGUUCAAGCGAUUCUUUUGCCUCAGACACCUGAGUAGCUGGGAUUACAGCCUGCACCACCACGCCUGGCUAAUUUUUUGUUGUUGUUGUUGAGAUACAGUUUCACUCUGUCACCCAGGCUGGAGUGCAGUGGCAUGAUCUCAGCUCACUGCAACCUCUGCCUUCUGGGUUCAAGUGAUUCUUGUGCCUCAGCCUCCCAAGUAGCUGGGAUUACAGGCGUGCACCACCACACCCAGUUAAUUUUUGUAUUUUUGAUAGAGACGGGGUUUCACCAUGUUGGCCAGGCUGGUCUCGAACUCUGGGUUCAAGAAAUCCUCCCACCUUGGCCUCCCAAAGUGCUGGGAUUACAGGUGUGAGCCACCACGCAUGGCCCUGAACUUUCUCUUUUUAGGAAUACCAAAGUUUUCAGCUUUUUCAGCUUUAGAAUUUGUAAAUAUUUUUGUAGAAUAUCAUAUGACUGUAAUUCCAGAGUGUUCCAACUUGUUUAUGAUAUAUUUGGGUAAAUUUACAACUGUUCUUUUAUUUGCCAUAAUCUGGUUAUAACACUGUUUGUGGUAGGAAAGGAAAACAUGCAAAACAUACACACACACACACGCAGAGUUGUGAUUCUCAGUACCAAGCUAUAGGACCAUGUUAUAGAUCAGCGUUUAGUCACCUCCAGGUUAUAUGCAUCAAGAACCUGAAUAAAUCAUGCCACUAUAUUAAUUUAUAUUACAUGUUUCAUAUUUAAAUCAUGUUUUCCUAAAAUGUAGCAACUACAUGUGAUAAAAGCAAAUUAGAACAUUCUGUAGGACGGUUUUGCAUACCUUCUGUCUGGUUUCCACUGAUUCCUUCUUAGCCAUGGAGAGCAUUUGUGAUUAAUUAAUUUAUAUAUGAAAUAAUGGUUUCCAUUUUAUGCGAGUAUUUGUAACUGCAUAUACCAGUGCGUGUGCAUCUACCUCUGUCAGCAUGAAAGUAUUCCAUUCUUUAAUUUCAAAAACUUCAAAUUAGCCUCAUGAAGAGAAUUUUUCCCUGUGAGAAGACCAAGAAAAAACAAACUGAAGACAUGUGACUUAUUCAAUGAAAGUGAAAAAGAAGCUCUAAAAAAGUGUCAUUGAUUAAAAAGAAUAUCUGGAAUGUAGCUCCACUCUUUGAGUGGGAUUCAUUUCUUACUGCUUAUGAACUUUCAAUUUAGUAGUCAGAAACCAUGGAUUUAUUUUACUGCACAAUGUGAAGUUUACAUUUUAUUAACACUUGAGUAGUCUGAUUUAGAGACUAGUUACUUCUAUUUUUUAAAAUAAUGGAGUAGCAAAUUACAGAAUAGCUAAAUAAUUUUUAAAAAAUAUUUUACAGUUGUAAAAAAUAUCCACCAGAAAAAUGACACACAAAACAAAAUAUCUGGACCUUUACAGAAGAUGUUUGCUGACCCCCACUUUAAAGGAUUGGAACAGUCUUCUUCAAUUGAGGAAUAUUUAUUAAAAUACCUGUAAAGAAAAUAGUGAAUCACUGUAGCAAUGGCUUUGAUUCAGACCUUAAAAUCACAUAAGAAGAAUUACAACAUGUUACGGAUUUUUAAGUGGCAGGUAUUGUAACUGUUUUUUUUGUGCAAAAUACUGAGUAACCACUGGGAAAAUAUUUCAGAUGAAAGGGAUGACAAAAGCAUGUUGCACUUUGCAUCAGCAAGGCAUUGACUUCUGAAAAAAUGAUCUGAAAAAAAAGUUUCACCGUUUGUCUUCUUACCUCAUUUUAAGAAGCAUGUGAAAAUGGGAUGCUGUAGACUAGUGAGAAUUUCAGAAAUUGAGAACAAUUUCAUAAUAAAACGGCUAUAUUUGAAGAGAAUGCAUUUUAUAUAAACAGGAAAAUACAUUUGACACUUUAUGGAAUUUUAUGAGACUUUGUGGGAACAGAAGUUCUUCAAAUUGUAAAAUGUAAAGAUUGCUCUUUUUAUUAAGUCUUUAACAGGGAUGUAUUUCAUUGUAUGUUUUGGGUAUGGCUUUGGAAUAAAUCAUUUUAUAUUUU